AUAAAAAAUACAAGUUUAUUCAUCAUAAUCGAUAUUGUCCCCUUCAAAGUACUCCCCAUCGACUGCACCGUACUUAUGCCAGCGCUUGACUCAAUCCCUAUUGAAAUUUCAUCACCAUACAGUAAAGCAAAUAUGUAGAUAACUUAGGCAUCCGAUGUUAUAAAUAUGAGUAAAUUAAAGCGGCUUAACGGUCGCAAGUAUUUGUUAAAGCUUCAGCUACUCAGUUUACUCGCUAACAAGUUACCUACUUACUGGCUUACUUUACCGGGGUAUGUCGUAGUCGUUUGAACACUAUCCUGGCAGGAUCGCUAAAAAUGUAAUGGUCAAGAACUGAAUAAGUGUUUUAAAAAAAGUCGCUCUGAACAAACUACAGCAUUAUGUGGCGAGCGAUCGAGGACUAGAGGUAAUACCCAGACGUGUUUAAACGUUAUUAUGCUAGAAACAUUGAUGCACCACACAGUGUAAGGCUACACGCAUUUCAUUAGACUCGUAUUUUGUUCUCUGCAGGUCACUUCUUUUUAAUGCUCUCAAAAGUUGGCUUUCUUAUUCAACGCACAAAGUUUGCUAAGCAUUCUUUUGCCAUAUGCUUGGUCCACGAACCUCUCGCCGAGUUAUAUGUAAUGAGAUAAUAUAAACAAUUUCGAGGCUCGACAGAAGGUGGAUUGUACUGCGGAAACCUCCAGAGCCUGGGAUGUCGCAACCCUCACAACGCCACCGGUUGCCGAGCCAUCCGACGGUAAUAAGAUUCCCUGAUAAGUGGAUUCAAUCCUUUCCCUCUCACCUUUCAUGGACGUUCAAUAAAUAAAUAUCAAGAGUACACUGCCCGACGCUUAUCGUU